rnacentral:rRNA from 1 species
GAAGUCGGAAUCGCUAGUAAUCGCGGAUCAGCAUGCCGCGGUGAAUACGUUCCCGGGCCUUGUACACACCGCCCGUCACACCAUGAGAGUUUGUAACACCCAAAGCCGGUGGGGUAACCUUUUGGAGCCAGCCGUCUAAGGUGGGACAGAUGAUUGGGGUGAAGUCGUAACAAGGUAGC